rnacentral:rRNA from 1 species
GCCGGGGUUGCUAAACCGACACGCGGUCUGGUAGGUGAGUGGACAGUUGGAGGGGGAGAUAAAGCCAACAGAGAAAUACUCCAACCAAGCCAAAGCCAAAGCCAAGCAGAGAGAGAAACGGAAACAGAGGGGGAGAAGACUUGCAGAGGAGAGGAGCAAGUUGCGGAGGAGGCAGCGGCAAGGGAGGAGGGGUCGCCGGAAGGGGGACAUGCUCCCUCCACAUCUCACAUCUCGCAGCUUGAACUGAGAGCAAGAGUAGAAACCCAUAAGAUGAGACGCAAGCAAAAUAUGCAUGAAAAUGGCACAAUCAUGAUUCAGUUUGGUCAGCAAGUGCCUAACUGCGAGUCCUCAGCUAGCGAUUCUCCUCAAGAAGUGUCCGGGAUGAGUGAAGGAAGCUUUAAUGAGCAGAAUGAUCAAUCUGGUAAUCGCGAUGGCUACACCAAGAGUGAUGAAGGCAAGAUGAUGUCGGCUUUGUCUCUGGGCAAUUCAGAAACAGCAUACACACCCCCAAAACCUGACCGCACUCAUCCCUUCGCCAUAUCAUACCCAUAUGCUGAUCCUUACUAUGGUGGUGCAGUGGCAGCCUAUGGCACACAUGCUAUUAUGCACCCCCAGAUGGUGGGUAUGGUACCAUCCUCUCGAGUGCCACUGCCAAUUGAACCGGCUGCCGCCGAAGAGCCCAUUUAUGUGAACGCGAAGCAAUACCAUGCCAUUCUCCGAAGGAGACAGCUCCGCGCAAAAUUAGAGGCUGAAAAUAAGCUGGUCAAAAGCCGUAAGCCGUACCUCCACGAGUCCCGGCACCAGCACGCGAUGAAGCGGGCUCGGGGGACAGGCGGGCGGUUCCUCAACGCAAAAGAGAAGUCCGAGGCGGCCUCCGGCGGCGGCAAUGCAUCAGCAAGAUCUGGCCACGCCGGCGUUCCUACAGACGGUGGUGGCAUGUUCUCGAAGCACGACCACACCUUACCGUCCGGUGACUUCCAUUACCGCGCAAGAGGGGGCGCCUAGGGCGGGCCUUUGCCCCCUGGCAAAUCAUCCUUGGCUUAUGUGUGUGGUGAAUGACCGUCAAUUCGGUCCAAUGAUAUUGUAAAACUGAAUUUAGAGUCUGCAAUUGUUACUUGGGGGUUUGGUAGACGGUCGUUGUGUUUGGGGACGCUGCAGCUGCAGCUGCAGCUGCCGGUUCUCUUGUUGUGGUAGGUUUGUGUGGCAUGGCAGGUGCUGCUAAGCUGGAGCCUGCUUGAACUGUUUUCCUGUCACUUUGUUGGGGUAAUAAUGACCAUCCUGUAUGAUAUUAGUACUGACUUGGAGUAAUAACCAUUCCCGGCGUGAUGCAUUGCGCCUGUGGUGGUGUUUCUUUUGAGCCAUGAAGUUAAACGACUUG